rnacentral:rRNA from 1 species
GACGAACGCUGGCGGCAUGCCUAACACAUGCAAGUCGAACGGAGAUUAUUUCGGUAAUCUUAGUGGCGAACGGGUGAGUAACGCGUGGGCAACCUGCCCUCUAGAUGGGGACAACAUCCCGAAAGGGGUGCUAAUACCGAAUGUGACAGCAAUCUCGCAUGAGGAUGCUGUGAAAGAUGGCCUCUAUUUAUCAGCUAUCGCUAGAGGAUGGGCCUGCGUCUGAUUAGCUAGUUGGUGGGGUAACGGCCUACCAAGGCGAUGAUCAGUAGCCGGUCUGAGAGGAUGAACGGCCACAUUGGGACUGAGACACGGCCCAGACUCCUACGGGAGGCAGCAGUGGGGAAUCUUCCGCAAUGGGCGAAAGCCUGACGGAGCAAUGCCGCGUGAGUGAUGAAGGAAUUCGUUCCGUAAAGCUCUUUUGUUUAUGACGAAUGUGCAGAUUGUGAACAAUGAUCUGUAAUGACGGUAGUAAACGAAUAAGCCACGGCUAACUACGUG